rnacentral:rRNA from 1 species
GACGAACGCUGGCGGCGUGCUUAACACAUGCAAGUCGAACGAAGUGGCGAACGGGUGAGUAACGCGCAAUCAACCUGCCCUUCUGAGGGGGACAACAGUUGGAAACGACUGCUAAUAACGCAUACUGAAGGAGGGGUUUGCGUCUGAUUAGCUAGUGGGAGGGGGAACGGCCAACGAAGGCGAAGAUAAGUAGGCGGUGUGAGAGGAUGAGCGGCAACAUUGGGACUGGGACUCGGCCCAGACUCCUACGGGAAGCAGCGGGGGGGGAGCUGCCGAAAUGGACGUAAGGCUGACGAAGCAACACCGCGGGAGUGAUGACGGCCUUCGGGUUGUAAAGCUCUGUUAAUCGGGACGCGGUACCCGAAGAGAAAGCCACGGCUAACUACGUGCCAGCAGCCGCGGUAAUUC